rnacentral:misc_RNA from 1 species
AUUAAAACAGGGUGCAAUGGAAGGAUUACGAAUAUGAGGAGUUCAGUAACUUUCCUAGUAUGCUAGGCUACGCCACGCCAGAAGAUUUGGUGGGCUUGGCAUCACUGUUGGUUCAUCCAUGCAUUUUGCUUGAUAAUAUGAUAUUCUACUUUAAAUAUUCUAUGAGGGCAUUCAUAAUUUGUGAAACUAAUUGGGUCUGCAAAAAAUUAGGUUUUUCUUUGGGGAUUUAUUCGAUAAUUGAGCAUAGGUUUUUUUCUCAGCCUCAUCCCUCAGUGAUUUGGUUAAAGCUUUUGCUCGGCACUCGCAGUGAUGUGAAGCCUUUGACUUGGAAGUAGAAAGGGUAUUUUCGUCAAUAGAAAUAAAGCUUUGCUUGGUUCGCCCCCAAUAAACACAACGGUGCGUCGUUUUAAAUAACUGAGCCUCCUUAAAAGAGGGUCCGAGUCCAUCAAAAAGUAGUUGAAUAAACCCGCAUCUGCUUGAUAGCUAAGCCUGUGAGCAAAAUCAGAGGCCCAAAUGAUGUUAAUGGACAGCCUACAUUGAAUUUAAGUUUUAACCCAUAAAUUUUAAUAAAAAAAAAUUAUUCUUUUU